rnacentral:lncRNA from 1 species
CAUUAGUUGAAGAAAAUAAGAAACAUUAUACCUAGCUAUUAGAGUUUAAGAUGGCUUCAAAAACUUGUUCCUCCCUUGCCCUUUUCCUCACACUCAACCUCGUUUUCUUCUCACUUGUCUCUGCAUGCGGUUAUACACCAUGCCCUGGUCCAAACCCAAAGCCAAGGCCCAACCCCAACCCUAACCCUAACCCCAGCCCAAGUGGCUCGUGCCCCCGUGACGCACUCAAACUAGGUGUAUGUGCCAAUGUGCUAAACUUGGUGAACGCCACUUUGGGUCAACCACCAGUUACCCCUUGCUGCACCCUUCUCGAUGGUCUCGUUGACCUUGAAGCUGCAGUGUGCCUUUGCACUGCCCUCAAAGCAAACAUUUUGGGCAUCAACCUCAACCUUCCAAUCUCCCUUAGCUUGCUUCUCAAUGUUUGCUCAAGGAAAGCUCCACGUGAUUUCCAAUGUGCCUAAUCAUGGCCCAUGAGCAAGUUGCUACGUGCUUAUUCCUAGUUGUGGUUUUCCGUUGUUUUUUUUUUUUUUUGAAAUUCCAUUUAUCAUGGUGUGAUUCUUGUUCGUGCAUCAGUGCAUGGAUGGGUAAAUUCUCGUUAUAUUCUGCCGCUUUAUUGAUUGUUUUAUCAGGCAAAGUGUCACAUUAAAUAAAUUCCCAAUGCUUAAUUUCUUAUGUAAAGCAAAAGGAAUAAAAAAAUGAUAGUGUUAUUUAUAUGGCAGAUAAAUGGUUAAUGUUGCAAAUACAUUUUAAUAUUUAUUGAUGCCAUUUUGUUUUGUCUUUUCGGUGAAUGAGAGCAUCAGCUGAUCAGCAAAAUUACAUUGCUUUCUAACUUGUGUCCAAUGCGCAACUAGAGGAAAACUAAUUCAAGAAAAGAAUAAAAAUGAAAGUAAGCAUGCACAACACUGAGCCCGUGACGAUUGUACAAAGCACUCCACGUGCAUGCACUAUUAUUUCAUUUAAAAAAAAAGCUCAGAAUAAUUAGCUAUUUAAACCAAGAUACAUAUUAAAUUCUAUGGUACCACAGUAACACUUUUAGAGGUUUUGGAAAAUUUCAUAUUUGGACCAAUAGUUAUUAAGUUACUUAGUCAUCAAUUUACUAUAUGUGGUAAUGAAAUUGUUAUAUAUAUAUAUAUAUAUAUAUAUAUAUAUAUAUAUAUAUAUAUAUAUAUAAUUUAGUCCCUAAUUAAUUCAAAUAUUUUUUCUUUUAAAAUUAUUAUUUUUAAUUAUUUUAAUUAAAUAGAUAGAUCUGAUCAUUGACUCUGUAAAUCUUGAAGUUUUGGCAUUCAUGUGUCCUUCGACCUUAAAGAAGUGGAAAAAUAUCCAUGUUAAAUCUACUAUGGGGAAGGUUAAUUAAAAUUCAAUCCACAAUUGGUGACUCUAUCACUUACAAUGCUCUACCUUAUUCCAUGUUCCAAAAGAGCAUGUAAAAAAUCAUAUUUCCUCCAAUCUUAGUUAUAAGCAAAAAAGACAUUUUAUAUUUAUUAAAAAAAUUAACAAACUUUAUUAAAUUGUAUCAUUAAUUCCUAAUUAAAAAAUAAAUAUUUUUUCUAAACUAUUGGACUUUAUAUCAAAUAUAUAAAAAAAAUAAUCUUAUUAAAUGAAUAUAUUUUAGAGAGAAUCUUAUUAAAUAAGACAUAAAUAAUUCAAAUUUAAUAUUCUAAAUCCAAUGAAAUACUAAUUACUGUUCUUUACAAGCCUUCUGAAGUCCUUAGCUUGGUUCCUAAUCUAGAUCAGUCCCCCAGUUCAAGUGUAUGGAGAGGCCUAUGUCUUCCUCCUAACCCUCCUAUAUACUUUAGCCUUUAGAAGGGAUGUUCUGAUUAAUCGGGAUAUUCAUCGGUUGGUGUGAGUUGCGAUUGCAUCAAAAUCCCGUAGAUUGUGGGCUCUUACACAUCGAUGUAGGCCAAGUGUAGGUCUUUCUAUUGUGAGUGAUUUACCUCGGGACGAAUGAGGUGUGGCCCAAUGCGUAGUACUUCAAGCCACGAGUGGAGUAUAUAUGCACGAAGUGGCUUUGGUACACAACCCCUUAAGCCACAAGUGGAGUAUGCACAAAGUGGGUUUGUAGAGUUCGGGUUGACCGAGGUGUGGCACAAUACACAAUCCCUCAAGUCACAAGCUAGAGUGAAGUAUGCACUAAGUGAGUUUGCAGAGUACUAUCAAGAUUGAAAACUUGAAGGUACUUGAAACACACAUUGAAUUCUUAACAAAGUCAACGAUUAUAAAUCUUGCAAGAACACUCAUUGAAUUCUUUUGUAAAGAUAUAAAUGAAUGAAACACAAGUAAAAGUGUCAAAAAUAUCCCUGCUUAAUAUAAUAUAGAAACAAAAAAAAAAGACUAAUAAUACAUGAACCACGCCUAUUAUUACUACAAGAUUUUUUUUAAUGUUACACCCUAUAUUAACACCCAUCUUUUUCUCUAUCCCUCUCUUCUUCUCAUAUCAAAAUAUCUAUGAUACCUAUUAUCCCCCCCUCUCUUCUUCUCAUAUCAAAAUAUCUAUGAUACCUAUUUUACCAGAAAAAUACUUAUAUUUUUUUUAUAUUCAUGAAAUAAUCAAGNNNNNNNNNNNNNNNNNNNNNNNNNNNNNNNNNNNNNNNNNNNNNNNNNNNNNNNNNNNNNNNNNNNNNNNNNNNNNNNNNNNNNNNNNNNNNNNNNNNNAUAUAUAUAUAUAUAUAUAUAUAUAUAUAUAUAUAUAUAUAUAUAUAUAUAUAUAUAUAUAUAUAUAUAUAUAUAUAUAUAUAUAUAUAUAUAUAUAUAUAUAUAUAUAUAUAUAUAUAUAUAUAUAUAUAUAUAUAUAUAUAUAUUUACAUAAUACACGAACUACUUGCUAAUGAUUAUAUAGACUCCAAUCCCAAUCCCUCAGGUGGCUUCUGCCCUGGCGAUGCACUCAAACUAGGCAUAGGUGCCAAUGUGCUAAAUGGGCUGCUCAACGUGACUUUGUGUCAACCACCGGUUAUAUCUUCUUCUUCCCUCCUCAACGGUCUCAUUGACCUUGAGGCUGCACUGUCCUUAGAGCAAAUAUUUUGGGCAUCAACCUCAACCUUUCCAUCUCACGCAGCUCACUUCUCAAUGCUUGCUCAAGGCAAGUCCCAUGUGAUUUCCAUUGUGCCUAAUUACCCAACAUAUCAUAUAUAUCAUCGUACCUACUUUUGCUUUGUGUUUUCCAGUUGUGACUUUCCUUUCUUUUUUUUUUUUCAAAUUCCAUGUGUGGUUCUUGUACGUGCAUGGAGGGUUAGCUUCUCGUUAUUCCUUCCUUUCAGUGUUUUUGUAGUUAUCUGGUAAGAGUGACGCGAUAUAUAUUAUAUAUAGAAGCUCUCGAUGGUUGCUUGUGUAAAUCGCAAUGUACAAAAGUUGAUGAACUAGUCUGUUAUUUAUAAAAAGAAAACCAAACACAAGCGCUUGCAAAUGACCUCGUUAUUAAUGCUUCUAUUAUAUAUAUAUAUAUAUAAAGAGAUCAAAUAUCAAUAUAGUUUUGACCAACUAUUAUCUCAUUUAAUAACUUUCAAUUAAUUAAUAUUUUUGUUAAAACUCGUUAUUUGAUUAAAAAUUCAUUUCACAUGAAUUAAAUAUAUAAAAUUUUAUAUUAAUAUAAAAUUAUUUGUUAUCUUAUUAUUCAUAUAAACUAAAAUUGAUGUAAUAAAAAAAAUUAAAAUAUAUUAAAUUAUAAAUCAUUUGAUUAUUUUUUUAUUAUUGUUUAAUUUUAAUAAAAUUUAACACAUAUAAUAUAUAUUGAUAAUAUGUAAAUAUAAUUUAAUGAUCAAAUAAGUAAAAUUCACAAUUUUUUAUCAAAUUAUAGAAUAAUAAAAUAUUAAAUUAUAUUAAUAUAAUUUCAUCUAAUACAUAUUAAUUGUAUUUCAUGUGUAAAGAAUUUAGUAUUUUUUUAAUUGCAAUUAGUCUUGUAUAGUUUAAUGAUAUUUUUACCAGUGACUUGGUUUUCAUAUUGUUUUCCGUUAAGGCAUUAAUGGUCAUUUUCAUAAACAUUGGAUUUGGUAAAAGUCGAAAGGAUAAGACGAUUUUGCCAUAUGCUUAACUUGGCACUCUAUGGCUUGGCCUUUAUGGCUAAUAAGUAACACAUUUGUUUUUAAAAAUGUAUCAUUUGGCUUGAUCUCUUUGUUGGAUUUGAUUGAAUACUAAUCUUGGUCGUGGCAUAUAAGAAUAUGAUUUGUCCACCACUCGUAUAAUGACAUACAAACUAGCCUAGUUUUAAGCCACAACUUCUAACUUUGCAUCAUAUUCGGUUUCUAUGUAACCAAAUACACCAUAUGAUGCAAAGCCACAAAAUCUUCCAGCACUCUAUGCAUUUCUUUCCAUUUGCCAAUCCUAAAUUCGAUAUAAAAAAAUGUUGUAUUCCAUUAUUUGGUAGAACCGUAUUCACAUCUAACUACUGGUACCAAGUAGUCUCUUUUGAAAUGGGGAGAUUAUUAAAGUUAAACUCUUUUAGAAUGGAAAUAAAAGUCUAAUUAUGUUUAAAAAGUUUUAGAGUUUAAUAUUUUUUCAUAUAUAUUUUCUUAAUGAAAAUUAUUACACUGUUAAUUUGUUAUAAUUUUUAAAAUAAUUAUUACAUUAGAUAUAAUUUUUAAAAUAAUUAUUGUAAAUUAAAGCUAACAAUUUUACUGUACACAAAAAUUUAUAAUUGUGUGAUAAAACAAAUAUAAGUAUAUUUUUAAAGCAAAAUAUAAGUAUAUUCUAAUUAAAUACUAUUAACAUUUGCUAAGGCUAAUAAUUUGAAAACUUUGCAUAAUAUUUUGUUUUUGUUUUUGACAAUCGUGUAAUAUAAAAUUGGUUAAUGUGACUUCACGCCCCACCCCCAAAUUAUGAAGAUUUCACGAGCCAAAAACGCGUGGAAAACUUAGAUUUGAUUUUGAUAUUAAUUGGACAUCACAGAUUAAGUCAAUAAUUGCGGACUUGUUCACAAAGGAAUGUCUAAACGAAACUCUUUUUAAAAUGAAAAAAAACGUAGUACAACGUUCUUCAUUGGCUUAUGGGCCUUUGCUUGUUAGGCUUCUAGCUAUUAUAAGCUCCUAGUUGCAUGCUUCCUGUCGAAAAUUGAUCAUAUUUACAUAAUUGUUUUUUUUUUAACUUAAUACUUUCGUCGUGCAGUGACGACUGAUCCACGUAUCAACGAGAGGAUGCACUUCCAACCCUUCGCUUUUUUGGAAAACACACACACACAUAUAUUUUUUAAAAUAUGUAUAUUUUAUCUUCUUAAUUUUAUAUAUUUGAAUCAUCUAUCCUUAAUUUUAUUAGUAUUUUCAUAAAAUAUUUUAAACAUAAAUUUAAAUAAUAUAAGUACAUACACACUAAUUUACCCUUUGUUCCUUUUUCAAUCCUUAAAAUUUUAAGGCGCAAAUGAAUAAAACAACAAAAAGAUAAGAUAUGUAUUGAAAUUAUACAUAUGGUUCCACCUUAUUUCUGGUUACGGUACCCAGUUUAAUUACAUAAUAUAUUGCUUAUCAUGAAAGAAACGGGAAAAAGGAAACAACUAACAAAAACCAAAUUAUAUAUAUAUAUAUAUAUAUAUAUAUAUAUAUAUAUAUAUAUAUAUAUAUAUAUAUAUAUAUAUAUAUAUAUAUAUAUAUAUGAAAUAUAUAUAUAUAUACACAUAUAUGAAACCAUCAAAUCACAUAGAUUAUAGUUGAAAAUAUCAUUUUUAAUCAAUAGGAAAGGUAAAAGUCUCACUAUUUACGGGAAAUAAAAGAAUUAACUACGACGAAAUUGAUAUUUUUUUUCAAAUUACCUUUCUAAGCCUUUUCAAUCGGUAAAAUAUUUUCUUUAAUUUAUUACACGUAUUUUUUUUUUUACUUUGAGAAAAAAUAAUUUUUUUGGUUUUAUAUUAUUUUGAAAUACUUUUCAUUAAAUAAACAUAUAUAUAACCAAAAAAUAUUAAAAAAUAAUAACUAUUGAGGUAAAUUUAUUAUAAAUUUAACUAACCUAAAUAACUAAUAAUCAUUAUUCACUUCUUAUUUUUGAACAAAAUAUCUACUAUUUACUAUUUAUAGUUUAAUUAUAAGAAUAUAACUUAUAAACACUGUACCUUAAAGUAUUUUUUAUAUUAAUUUUUAAUCAAGGUUUUAUUUUGAUAACCAACUCCAACUUAAUUAAUUAUAACUUAUAUUACGUGGAUUAUGGAAAUAAAAUUUAACUAUUAAUCAUUGCCUUCAUUUUAAAAUAAGUGUCACAUUUAAUUAUUUAAUGUAACAUUAAUUGUUUUUUUUUAUUAUUUCUAAUAAAUAUCACUUUAAUUUUUUAGUCUAAUAUUAAUAUUAUUUUUUAUCUAUUUAAUAAUAUUAUACUCUAUUUUAUUUAUUAAUUAACUUUUUUAUAUGUAUAAAAUAUUAUACAACCACACUUAUUUUCGGACUAGGGAGUAAAAAAAACAUUUAAGAAACAAGAUAGUAAGUUUUCUUCAAAUUCAUAAUUAAUAGCUAUCAGCCAAUUAGCUAGUGGUAGUGUGAGGAUAAGAUUGAAAAUGUAAUAAUAGCUAUUAGCCUAUUAGCUAGCGGUAAUGUGGGGAUCUGAUAGGCUGUCGGGAUACACACUUUUUUUUUAGAAGUUAUUCAAAUUUAAAAGAAGAUAGUUUUUUUUUAAAGACGUAUACGAGAAUAAAUUCUAAUUUUUACUAAUAAUUAUAAUUUAUUAGUUAAAUUCAAUGUUUAUAUAUACAAUUUUAAAAUAAUUUUUUUACUAUUAACGAGCUAAAACUAUUUUUCAUAUGACUUUUAAAAUAGUUAUUACAACAAUUUUAUCACAAAUAACAUUAUACAUCAAUAACUAAUAAGUGGUAAUGUUACAAAUUCCUGAAUAAGAUGACCCGGCCGGCCCGGAAAAAAACAAAAUUAGUCGAGAUUUUUAACAAGAUAUUUUUAUCAUCGAAAGUUAUAUACUAUCUUUUAAAGAAGUAGAAUAUGAAUUAAAGAAAAGCUUUUUUUGACACAUGUAUUAUUCUAUUCGCAUAGCUAAGGAUUGAAACACUAAUAUAUGUUUAAAGAGCUCAAAUUAUUUGCUACUUGUGUAAUAUCUUGUAGGGGUUGGAAAUUUUUUUAUUUGAAUCAUAUGUAUAAAAAAGUGCAUUUCAAUUUGAUGUCAACCAACACGUACUUUGUUCGAAACAGGCUGCAGGAAGAAUAGUCAUCAUCCUCAAAUUUUAGCUAUUUUAUUUAUUAAAAGUUUAAAUACAACCAAAUUAAUCACAUCUCGGAAGGAACUGUAAGGGAGAGUGUGUACUGUGCAGUCAAUUUCCAACCACAAUAAGCAAUACUUAUAAUAGGACCCAGUGACCCAUUAUUUCACAUGCAGAACCUUAUGUACUCUCAGAUCCACCGAUUGAUGGCGGUUCCUGCAUGCAUCACAAGUCACAAGCAUAUAAUACCUAAUUUAAGGUUUUUCCCCGCCAGCUAAAAUUCUCAUGUUCACUCAUGGUCAUUUCAUUAACAUACUAUUUAUUUAUUUUUUUGUAAAAAAAUUCAAGUGUUGAAUAUUAAUUUUGAGGUACUGAAUAUAUAAGUUUUAAUUAAAAAAAAUUAUGUUUUGGUUUGGGUAAUUGGCUCGAUUCAGUUUCGGUUGAUCUAGCAUGAUAUUAUUCCAUUUGGAUAUCUCGGAUAGUAACCCAAAUUUUAUGUUUGGUGAGACUUAUAAGCUAUUGUCUUUUUUUUUUCUUCUCAAUUUUAUGCUUAUUUUUUAUUUAAAAUUUAGUUUUAUCUUUUUAUUCAAUUUAAAAACUUUCUUAUUUUCUUUAUUGUCCGGACAAAUUCUCGUAUUUAAUUUAAUGUUCUUACAUGCUUACAACAAACAUAAUAAUCAAUCCCUCAAUUGUCAUUGUUACAUCAUUCUUUAAUAUUAGAUUUUUUUAAAAUUAUUUCAAUUUUAUAAUUAUUUACUAUUUUUUUUAUUUUAUAAUUACCUAUUUUGAUCCUUUGCAUUAUUUUUUAUUUUAUUGAUUUAAUUUGUUAAGGCAAAAAUAUAUCCUACUUUUCAAGAUGAUUAAUUAUUAAAAAUAAAAUUCAAAUAUUAAAAAUAUUAAUAUAUUAUUUGAUAUUUAUUAGAUAAUUUUAUUAAAUACUUUCUUAAUUAGCUAGCUUAUAAACUUAUAACUUUAUAGCUUAUAAACUUCCAACCAAUUUAUAAGUCAAUUUUUACGAGACAUAGCUAAAUUGAUCCAAACUGAAAAAAAAAAAAAACACACUAGUUUGGGUUGCUAGUAAAAUAAAAUAAAAUAAGACAACUGAAGCUAUCUAACUCAGUACUUAAUAAUUGAAUUGUCGAUUAAUUUAAGUUUGUAUAUUUUACCUAUAUACGUACAUAAUACACCAACUACUUGCUAAUAUUUUAAUAGAGUCGUCAUCAUAUUCUCAUUGACACUUCCAAACACCAUGAGCACUAUAUAAACCCCCCAUCCACACCAAAUUACUCCCAUCUUCACUUACACUCUUCUUUUAAGCUCUAGCAGUUAACUAACAAUAUUAGCAUUUGCUAGUGAUUAGGAAUAUAAAGAUACGCCAACCACAAACAGUUUAAGAUGGCCUCCAAAACAUGUUCAUCCCUUGCUCUUUUCCUCACACUCAACCUCCUCUUCUUUUCACUUGUCUCUGCAUGCGGUAGUUAUUCAUGCCCUAGUCCAAAGCCAAAGCCAAAGCCCAAGCCAAAGCCCAACCCUAACCCUAGUCCUUCUGGUGCAUCGUGCCCCCGUGACGCACUCAAGCUAGGUGUAUGUGCCAACGUGCUAAAAGGGUUGUUGAACGUGACUUUGGGUCAACCACCAGUUACCCCUUGCUGCACCCUUCUCGAUGGGCUCGUUGACCUUGAGGCUGCAGUGUGCCUUUGCACUGCCCUCAAAGCAAAUGUUUUGGGCAUCAACCUCAACCUUCCUAUCUCACUCAGCUUGCUUCUCAAUGUUUGCUCAAGGCAAGUCCCACGCGAUUUUCAAUGUGCCUAAUCAUGGCCUAUACACAACAUAUCAUAUAUAUCUAACGUGUUUGGAAACUCGUUGAGGAUGGAGAAAUCACGUCUGAGAUAUGAAAAGCUAUAACUAUUUGCUUUUCCACAUCUAAAAUGUGAAAAAUUACGUCUGAAACGUGAAAUCAAACACGUUAAUUAAUCAUCCUAUCUACGUACUUUUGCUUCGUGUUUGGUAUAGUUGUGACUUUCCUUUAUAUUGAUCAGUGUGUGAAUCUUGUACGUGCAUGGAGGGUUAACUUCUCCUUAUUCCUUCCUUUUAGUGUUUUCUAAAUAUUGUAUGGUUAGAGUGUUGCAAUAAAUUAAUAAAUAAGUUCCUGAUGCAUGCUUAUGUAAAUCGCAAGGGAACCAAAGAUAAUGAACUGGUGUGUUAUUUAUAUUUGAUUGAGAAAUGGUCAUUAUAUCACAAAUAAUCGUUUGGAAAAAUAAAUAUGUUGGGUACGUUUAUGAGUGGGGGGUCACUGAUGUAAUAGGAGCAGAUUAUGUAUGCAGGGACUGAACAAAUUAUCUUGCUUGAUAUAUGCUGUGGGGUUUUAUGUGCUGCGUCAAUAGUUUAGGAGCAGGAGCAGAUUAUGAUUGCUGCAUACAUAAUAUGCAGGAGCAGAUUAUAUGUAUGUUGUGGGAUUUUGCAGUGUAGUGGUUUAUAUAUGAUGUAAAAGGGUUUGGUUCCCUUAUAUUAUACCCUCUAUUAUAUAAAUCUUAUUUGGCUUAUAUAAAAAGAAUAAUCCUUCUUAAUUUAUUUCGUUCUGCCUUUUCCUUUUGUCUUUUUUGGUGAACGAAAUCACCAACUAAUCAAUUAAGUAAAUUAUUCGGCAUACUACUAAUUAAAGUGUAUCAAUUGAACUUUCAUAUCUUGCUCGGUAACAAACAAAAUUGGGAAGUUAUGAGUUGGUUUUUCAGGGCUAUUGCUUAAUAAUAUCUCUGCUAAUUAUAUCCAAUUUAGUUCUUUACUAAGGAGGAAAUAGCUGCAUACGAUUCGCUACCUUUUUUUACCAUGCAGGGUAUGAUCUAUUUAAAUCAUGCAUAAUGAAAUUGUAUUUCAAGGUGUAUCUUUCGACUUAUCUAGUAGUGUUUUAGAUUUUUAUAAAGAUUAGAUCGAGGACAUUCAGCAAUAAAUUAAGUAUAAUAUUCUUUUAUCUAAUUUGUUUACAUCUUGUAGCCUGUUAGAGCACUCUGUCUCUUAAUAAAUUGUUUUUCCUGUAAAAGAAUAAAGUAUUUAAUUGUUGAAAAUGUAUAUUACGGGAAGACAUAUUACUAAUCAAGUAUUUGUUGAAAAAGUUGGGAACACAAGAGUCCAUCAUAUUAUUAUUAAAUUGUUGAACCAUUUCCCCUAAAUCUAAGAGAUCAAUAUUGGAAGAAAAAAUCAUAGACAUUCAAAUUACUUUUCCUGGAUAUAGUGACAAUAUAAUAAAUUAUACAAACAAAUGAUAUACUUUUGAAUCACCAUAAUGUUCGUGCAAAUUAUUCAUUUAUUUUAUUAAUUACACAUAAUAAUCUUUAUUUUCAAUUACAAAAUUUCAACUUAAAACUUUAAGAAAUUUAAAUCCAAUUUCACUCAAACCAAAAUCACAUAUGUUAGCCAAACAUAUGAUUAGUUAUUGUAUACUUUAUUUUAUAUAUUAAAAAAAUCCAUGUACAUUUAUAAUAUUUAUAUGGCUAAAAUAUUGUUCUAAUCGCUUAUUUAUUUAUUUAUUUAAUUGGUGUAAUUUGAUUUCUUUAUUGAUAAAGACUUCAAUUUAGUUAAUUUUCAAAAUCAUGUCUAUGUUGUAAUUUUCAUCUAGUUGAUAAAAAUGUAGAACCAACAAAAUGGGUAAGAACUCACUAGUUUGAGCCGGGUUGGGUUGAUUUUUUAUGCCCAUUUCAAUUAUUAUGCAUAAAUAUGGCCCACCCAACCCGUAUUCAGGUUGACUAAUAAAAAAAACAUGUAUGUUGAUGCUAUUAAAAAAAUAACCCACUCCUUACUUGUCACGCAAAUGAAAUAGCACAACAAUUAUAAUUAGGUUUGUCCUUUUUUUUUCUCACUCUUUUUUCUUGAUUUAGUUAUUCUUCUUGCUUUCCUUUUUACAACAAUCAACAUAGAAUAAAAAUUAUAGGAAGUUUUUUUUAAAAAAAAUCAUUUCGUCCUUUUAAUUUUAGGUGGAUCAAACUAUUUAAUCUAUCAACUGGUGGUUACCUAAACUAAUUUAACUAACUUUUUAAAGACUCAGCAAAAAGUGAGUCAAGAUAGGCUAGUCCACUUUUUGAGCAACACGAGAUGAACUGACUUUGUCCACUUUGACAAUUGUAUUGGUGUUAACAAAAACAGACAUGUGCCACUUUCACAGGUUCAAGCCACUGACGUUAUUAUAGUCAUAUAUGCAAUUUUGAAAACUAAGGGUAAUUAUUUUUUUUAUAAUAAAAUGGCCAAAUUGGAUAAAUAAAAUAAAAAUAGAGACAAAAGAGUAUUUCAGUCUAUUUAUAUUAAAUAGUUAAUUUUCGUAAGAAAAAAAAUACAUACAGAGAGUAACAGACUAAUUCAAAACUUAUUUAUUAGAGUUUUAUUUUUGUUUAAUGAAGUGAUUUAAUAAUCAUUAUUUGAUUCUGAUUUUUUAAUAAAAUAUAUUAAUUAUUUAUUUAUUUAUACCUUAUGUUAAAAAAAUUAAGUAUUUAUACUUUAAUUCAAAGAAUAAAACUUAUAAUACAUCAUCUAUUUUUUUGGUAUUGUUUUUUAUAUAAGGUUAUAUUUUAAUGACCAACUCCUUGUUUUUAUUUUAACUUAUAAAGUAUUACUAGAUUAUCAAAAUAAUUUUCUAAUUUUAAUUUUAAAAACGUUUAAGAAGCAAAUUAGUUUUCUUCAAAUUAAUAAAUUAAUCGUUGCUAUCAGCCAAAUAGCUAGUGGUAACGUAAGGAUCUGAUUAAAAAUCUAAUAAACUUAUAAUAGCUGUUAGCCUAUUAGCCAAAUAGCUAGUGGUAAUGUAAGGAUUGGGUAAGCUGUCGGGAUAUACAUCAUCAUCUCUGUUUUGUUUUGUUUUUUUUUUUUUUUUUUUUUCCAAAAUUAUAUUUUAAUCUCCUUAGUUGUCUCUAAUUUUGAUUUUAGUAUCUUUUAAAAUUAUUGAUGCAUAUAGUAAUGCAUUUAGUCCUUCAAGUUCAACCCCGUAAACAUGAUCCUAAUUUAGACGUUGACUGUUAUAAAAAAAUGUUGACAGUCACGUGUUACAUUCUGAUUGGACGAUAAUUGACACGUGUCACAUUUUGAUUGAAUAUUGACAACAACAAUACAUUUUUCAUCAUUCAUAAAGUCAACAUUUAAUUAGAACGUGACACAUGAUAAUUUACGGGAUUGAAUAUAAUUAAAGGACUAAAUGCAUCAAUAAUUUUAGGAUCGGAGGAUAGAAGUUCCAAAUUUAAACCAAAAUGGAUUUUCAAUCAUGUAGAGGUAUACGAGAAUAAAUGAUAGUAAAGGUAUAUAAAUUGAAAAUUAAUAAUUAAUUAUACUGAUUAUAUAUACAUAUAUAAUAAAUCAUAAAAUUUAUCAAUUUAAUUAAUUUUUAUCAAUAAUUAUACUUUUAUUUAAAUUUAUUUUUUUAUAUAAUGUCAAUGCAAUUUAUUUACUAUUAACUAUUUAAAAAAUAUUCUACAUAAUUAUUAUAAAAAUUAACGACCUCAUCAUUCAAAACUUAAUGCAUUACAAUUAAAUUCUUCCUACUUUGUUGUUUAAAAUUUUAAAUCCAACAUAAUUACUUUUUUUCCUGAUAAUCCAACCAAAUUACUAUUCACUCCAAUCUUAAAUAUAAAUAAAAAUACCUCAUAUAAUUAUUUCAAAUAUAAAUAAAUUUUAACUAAUUUUAAAAAAACAUUCUCCAAAACAUUUUUAUUUUAUUUCAAUAACCUCUUUAAUUCUCGUUAUAUCAAUUGCAUGACUUUUAAAAAUAAAAAAUAUUUUCAAUUAAAAAAAAUUCUAUUAAAAUAAUGUUUUUUAACAAUUAGCGUGAAGAGUAGUUUGAAUAAUGAUUUUUUUUAACAAGAUACAGAAAAUUAAAUUAAAUUUACUAAAUUAUUAUAAAACAAUCACCGUGGUAUUCAUGCAAGUGAAACUUAUCUCAAAUUUCUUUAGUAAAAUUUGAAAUUUAAAUUAAACUUUGUAGAUGAAAGAAAAAAAAAUAAGAUGAGAGAUUCUAUAUAGGAAAAGUGAGUCACUCAUAUUUCUUAACAAAAGAUUAAUAAUUAUUAGCAAAAUAAAUAUAUAUUUCUCACUAAAAUUAUCUUGUAGUAAAAAUUACCAUGAAUUUUUUUAACACAAAAUUUAAAAAAAUAUCUAAAAAAGAUUUAUACGUUUGUAUAAGUGACUUAUCUCUUUUAAUUAUAAGUGAUAUAGAAUUUAAACUAUGAUUGUUAAUUUAAUAUAAAAUAAAUCAUAUUAAAACAGAAGUAUUAAUCUCAAACAGCUUUCAAUAGAAAUUAUUUACUACUCACACUAUAAUAAAAAAAUAAAAAAAUCUGGCAAGGGUUUGUACUUUGUAGAGAAGUUGUGGUGAAUUUACAGCCACAAUUAGUGAUACUUAUAUGGGACCCGCUAUUCCACAUGCAAAAGUUAGUAAUUGCAUAAUUCUGGGGACUCCAAGGAUCUUAGAUCUUACGGUCAUGGAAUCAAGUUGCCCAACGGGUGCAUAACUUUGCUCCCCAGAUCCACCGAUUGAUGCCAGUCCCUACAUCAACAAGUCACGAGCAUUAAAAACCUAAUUUAAGGACUUAAUUUUCCUGCCAGCUACAAAUUCUCAGGUUCACGUUCCAUUAAUUUAAUAUUUUUUUAUUUAUUAUGAAAUAUAUUCAAGUGUUUAAUUUUUUAUUGUCAAAAAUCAAAUACUGUAUUUUAAGUUGUUACGGAGUUAUUCUUAAUCAAAAUUAGCAUUUAUCUAUAUAAUUAUUCUUAAUUUUAGUUAUAAAAAAUACUGAUUAUUAAAAUAAAAUUUUCAUUUUGAUUGAAAAAUUACUCCAACCAUUUUUAUAAUAUAUACAAUAUCUAGGUUUAAUUUAUUUUUAAGAGAAAAAUACUCUCAUACAUAUAUACAUUCAUAUGUUCCUUUUAUAGGCAAUAAUAAUAGUACUUAUUUAUAUUUUUCAUUAUUAAUAAAACUAAUCUAUCAUUGAUUAAAUCAAUUUUUUAAAUGUCUUUUAAUUUAAGUUUUACAUUUUACCUAUAUCGUACAUAUAUAAUACACAAACUACUUGCUAAUUUUUUAAUUGACUCCUCAUCAUAACCCCCUUCCACCUUCAAAACAUCAUGAGCACUAUAUAAACCACAAUCCACAUCCUCACAAACACUCUUCUCAUAAGCUCUAGCACUUAACUAGUAAUAUUUAUUAGAAUUUGCUAGAGAAUUAGAAGAAUAAACAUAAUACCCCAGAUGGCUUCAAAAACUUGUUCCUCCCUUGCCCUUUUCCUCACACUCAACCUCGUUUUCUUCUCACUUGUCUCUGCAUGCGGUUAUACACCAUGCCCUGGUCCAAACCCAAAGCCAAGGCCCAACCCCAACCCUAACCCUAACCCCAGCCCAAGUGGCUCGUGCCCCCGUGACGCACUCAAACUAGGUGUAUGCGCCAAUGUGCUAAACUUGGUGAACGCCACUUUGGGUCAACCACCAGUUACCCCUUGUUGCUCCCUUCUCGAUGGUCUCGUUGACCUUGAGGCUGCAGUGUGCCUUUGCACUGCUCUCAAAGCAAACAUUUUGGGCAUCAACCUCAACCUUCCGAUCUCACUCAGCUUGCUUCUCAAUGUUUGCUCAAGGAAAGCCCCACGUGAUUUCCAAUGUGCCUACUAAGCUUAUACUAUAAGUAUAACAUAUCAUCUUAAAUCUUCUUUUGCUUCGGGUUUGCUCUAGUUGUGGCUUUCCAUU